CAAGGCGUAGCUAUAACACAAAGCAUUCAGCUUACACCUGAAAGAUGCCUGUCACCCGGGCCGCCUUGA
rnacentral:tRNA from 1 species